rnacentral:rRNA from 1 species
AUUGCACGCUGGCGGCAGCCCUAACACAUGCAACUCGAACUCUUGGCGGACGGGUGAGUAAUGUCUGGGCAACUGCCCGAUGGAGGGGGAUAACUACUGGCAACGGUAGCUUAUACCGCAUACCAUCGGCUGUGCCCAGAUGGGCUGAGAUAGUAGGUGGGGCAACGGCUCACCUAGGCGACGAACCCUAGCUGGUCUGAGAGGAUGACCAGCCACGCGGGAGACGAGACGCGGGCCAGACUCGGACGGUAUGCAGCAGUGGGGAAUAUUGCGCGAGGGGCGCAAGCCUGAUGCAGCCCUGCCGCGUGUAUGUAGACGGCCUUCGAGUUGUAAAGUACUUUCAGCGGGGAGGCGUUACUCGCAGAGGAAGCACCGUCUAACUCGGUGCCAGCAGCCGCGGUAAUUC